AUCAACGCUGGCGGCGUGCCUCAGACAUGCAAGUCGAACGAGAAGUCCCCUUCGGGGGAUGGACAGUGGCGCACGGGUGAGUAACACGUGGGUAAUUUACCUUCGGGUGGGGAACGAACAGCCGGAAACGGCUGCUAAUACCGCAUAAUGCAGCGGCUCGACAUCGAGACAGUUGUUAAAGCGGGGGAUCCAAAAGACCUCGCGCCUGAAGAGAAGCCCGCGGCAGAUUAGCAGUUGGUAGGGUAAUGGCCUACCAAGGCGACGAUCUGUAACCGGCCUGAGAGGGCGGUCGGUCACACUGACACUGACAUACGGGUCAGACUCCUACGGGAGGCAGCAGGUCGGGAAUUUUGGGCAAUGGGCGCAAGCCUGACCCA
rnacentral:rRNA from 1 species